rnacentral:rRNA from 1 species
UACGUAGGGGGCAAGCGUUGUCCGGAUUUAUUGGGCGUAAAGCGCACGCAGGCGGUCUCUUAAGUUUCGAGUGACAGGUCAGGGCUUAACCCUGGCAGGCCUUGGAAAACUGGGAGACUUGAGGGCUUCAGAGGGACGCGGAAUUCCAGGUGGAGCGGUGAAAUGCGCAGAUAUCAGGAGGAACACCAACGGCGAAGGCAGCCCGCUGGGACGGUACUGACGCUAAGGCGCGAAAGCGUGGGGAGCGAACAGG